ensembl:misc_RNA Metazoa_SRP Metazoan signal recognition particle RNA
GCUGGGCACGGUGGCUCACGCCUGUAAUCCCAGUACUUUGGGAGGCUGAGGCAAGAGGAUUGCAUUAGCUUAGGAGUUCAGGGCUGCAGUGAGCUGUGAUUAUGCCACUACACUCCAGCCUUGGCAACAGAGCGAGACCCUGUCUCUU